AUUCAGAAUAAAUAUUAUAGUGAAUCUGAUCGUGGCAUGUAUUUAUUUUAGUUAUUAAAUAUUUUUUUAAUUAAUUUAUUACAUACAUACAUAUAGGUCUACCGGAAUUUGAUGGCAAAAAAAAGUCGCUAUCUGUCAAAACUGAAAUUUCGUGGAAUUGUUUUUGGUUUGGCUUCAAAUUUCCUUUAAAAAGUGGUGAAAAUGUCGAAGAAACCUCUUCGAUCGCAAGCAAGAAGUAUUGUUUUAAAUGUUUAUCUAUCUAUCUAUCUAUCUCUUAGGUUUAUGGCGAAAAAGAAUACUCGAUGAACAAGGUGCAGAACAAACACAAUCAUCGAUAUUGAGCCAUGUGCAAGCGUUGACUGGUGUUUCUAAUACUACCAUAACACGAAUUGUUGCCUAAGGCAGAUCUAACAGAGGCGUAUUUAGUACGCCCGGUCAAAAGAGGAAAGGUGGCAAAAAUACUGCGUUUUCUUCGCCUUCCUCUUCUGAUGAAGACUUUUAUGGAUGUGCAGUAUUUGGAACCAUUUUCAAGCUCUGAUAGCCUAUAAUUAAUUAAUUCAUGAACAGAGUAAUUGGAGUUUUCAUCUAAAUUUCGAAUCCCACAUUCGCCACAGUAAGAUUUUCAAACAUUAUCCUUCAUCAUUGCAUACAUUCUUAUAUUUGCAUGUAUCAUACACAGAAUCAGCCGCUAUAAGAAAAAAAAAGUAUCAAAACGUUUUACUCCAAUUUUUCCAGUAUUGCUAGCGUCAAUUUCUUUUUUCCCUUUUUGCCAUCAGGUCCUGGUAGACCUAUACAUACUAACAUACGUCUGAACCUAAUAAAAGCGUAUUAUACGUUAAUAAUAAUUAAAUAAUAACAUAGACUUACCUAAACUAUAAAUCAUGUUUUAAGCGUCAUUAUUGCCAAUAAUGGUGGUUUGCACCCAUAAACACUAUCUGCGCUAUUGAACUUAAAUUAAAUGUGUAAUAAUAAUGACUAGUUGAACAUUUAGGCUCUGUGAAAAUCACUACGCAUGCAUUCUUUGCUUUUUCCAUAGGUUCCCUGAAAUAUUAGUAAUUGUCAUCCUAUUACUGGGAUAAAAUUUUACUUCAUUUGUUUUUAAAUCUUCUCAUUUAAUCUCAUACUUUAAUUAAUUUCACAAAGAUCAUCUUCAUUUCACUUAAAUUUACUUUCCAUUAGAAAACUAUUUUAUUAGUUAGACUCGAUGCUGGCAACAACAAAGACCAAUUAUCAUAUUAAAAAAAAAGUAGUGAAUACUUGUGAAACCAUAACAAUACAGUUGAAUGAAGUUAGCCCCUCAAAAAAAUUUUUUUUUCCUAUUUUAUACUUAUUUUCUAUUAAUUCGUUUGUUCAUCAUUUGUUCAUGAUUGUUCACUGUUAAUAAUUGUUUGUUCUGCAUUUAUUUAUUUAAAAAUAUACCUACAAGUUAGCCCCUCUAAUGCAAUUUUUAAUAUUUUUUCAUCCUUAAUGACUCGUAAAUAUUCAUUUUCGAUUGUUCUUAUAUAAAACAAGUUUGUUCUCUUUCGAAAUUAGUAGUUUUUUGUUUAAUUUACUAUUUUUAUUAGUUGAAUAAAUGUAUGCAAAAUAUGUGUAUUGCGCAUGCGUCAACUAUAAUGCCUAAACUUUCUACGCGGUUUUAAUCGUGAAAAAAAAAACAAAUAUAAAUCCUGAAGGAGCAAUUAAUUUUUUUUUAGAUUUUUCAAUUAACUUUAAGUACUUGAAAAAAAAUUUUUUAAGUGACGUACUCGCUUUCGAGGCCUUGCGCGCAACCUAACAAUGGCGCGCGGCGGGCUAUUAUCAGCGUUAAAUUAAAAUUAUAAAUAAUGGAGCUACAGUUCCGGGAGUUGGAACUUUUUUUUACUAAAUUUCCUCCUCUUUAAGGAUCUUUUUUUCAAAUUUCGAAAAUAUUUAUAGUUUACGGACAAUAAGCAAUAAACGAAACGCUAUUUUUUUAAGGUGUUUAAUUGUUAAUAACUUUUGGAAUUUUUUAUGUGCUAAUUAAAUUUUUUAGCACAAUGGUCUAGACAUUAUUCCGAAUCGAAUGAGCUAAACCACAUAAUUUUAGCAGUAGUAUGUCGAAUUAACACCAUUUUUAACUUGUCGACUAGACUAAAUUGAAUGUCGAUGUUCUGACCAACGGAAAUCGAUUCAUUUGCUUUUAAUCGAUUCAAAAUCUGUGUUUUCAGGUCAAUCGAUUUUGCGAGUAAUUGAUCAAGCCCUAUUCCUAAAGUUUUUUUAAAGGUAUUUUAUGACCUGGUAAAUAGGACGUUUAAGUCAUGUCUCAUUUUAAUGUAUAUCCUUAUUUUUAUGGCAAAUGAUUACGGAGUGAAAUGACAUGAAAUGAAGAUGAUUAAUUUGAGACAUUAAUUAGCUGCGAUGAAAUUAAAUGAGAUGAUUUUUUUUUAUUGCCCUUGUAGGCAGACGAGCAUACGGCCCACCUGAUGGUGAGUGGUUACCGUCGCCCAUGGACUUCAGCAAUUCCAGGGGCAGAGCCAAGCCACUGCCUACCGCUUAA